rnacentral:rRNA from 1 species
GAUGAACGCUGGCGGCGUGCCUAAUACAUGCAAGUCGAGCGAACAGACGAGGAGCUUGCUCCUCUGACGUUAGCGGCGGACGGGUGAGUAACACGUGGAUAACCUACCUAUAAGACUGGGAUAACUUCGGGAAACCGGAGCUAAUACCGGAUAAUAUAUUGAACCGCAUGGUUCAAUAGUGAAAGACGGUUUUGCUGUCACUUCUAGAUGGAUCCGCGCCGCAUUAGCUAGUUGGUAAGGUAACGGCUUACCAAGGCAACGAUGCGUAGCCGACCUGAGAGGGUGAUCGGCCACACUGGAACUGAGACACGGUCCAGACUCCUACGGGAGGCAGCAGUAGGGAAUCUUCCGCAAUGGGCGAAAGCCUGACGGAGCAACGCCGCGUGAGUGAUGAAGGUCUUCGGAUCGUAAAACUCUGUUAUUAGGGAAGAACAAAUGUGUAAGUAACUAUGCACGUCUUGACGGGACCUAAUCAGAAAGCCACGGCUAACUACGU